rnacentral:tmRNA from 44 species
GGGGCUGAUUCUGGAUUCGACGGGAUUUGCGAAACCCAAGGUGCAUGCCGAGGGGCGGUUGGCCUCGUAAAAAGCCGCAAAAAAAUAGUCGCAAACGACGAAAACUACGCUUUAGCAGCUUAAUAACCUGCUUAGAGCCCUCUCUCCCUAGCCUCCGCUCUUAGGACGGGGAUCAAGAGAGGUCAAACCCAAAAGAGAUCGCGUGGAUGCCCUGCCUGGGGUUGAAGCGUUAAAACUAAUCAGGCUAGUCUGGUAGUGGCGUGUCCGUCCGCAGGUGCCAGGCGAAUGUAAAGACUGACUAAGCAUGUAGUACCGAGGAUGUAGGAAUUUCGGACGCGGGUUCAACUCCCGCCAGCUCCACCA